AUUGAACGCUGGCGGCAGGCCUAACACAUGCAAGUCGAGCGGAUGAAGGGAGCUUGCUCCUGGAUUCAGCGUCGGACGGGUGAGUAAUGCCUAGGAAUCUGCCUGGUAGUGGGGGAUAACGUCCGGAAACGGGCGCUAAUACCGCAUACGUCCUGAGGGAGAAAGUGGGGGAUCUUCGGACCUCACGCUAUCAGAUGAGCCUAGGUCGGAUUAGCUAGUUGGUGGGGUAAAGGCCUACCAAGGCGACGAUCCGUAACUGGUCUGAGAGGAUGAUCAGUCACACUGGAACUGAGACACGGUCCAGACUCCUACGGGAGGCAGCAGUGGGGAAUAUUGGACAAUGGGCGAAAGCCUGAUCCAGCCAUGCCGCGUGUGUGAAGAAGGUCUUCGGAUUGUAAAGCACUUUAAGUUGGGAGGAAGGGCAGUAAGUUAAUACCUUGCUGUUUUGACGUUACCAACAGAAUAAGCACCGGCUAACUUCGUG
rnacentral:rRNA from 1 species